UUGCACGCUGGCGGCAUGCUUUACACAUGCAAGUCGAACGGCAGCGCGGGGCAACCUGGCGGCGAGUGGCGAACGGGUGAGUAAUAUAUCGGAACGUACCCAGAAGUGGGGGAUAACGUAGCGAAAGUUACGCUAUUACCGCAUACGAUCUACGGAUGAAAGUAGGGGACCGCAAGGCCUUAUGCUUUUGGAGCGGCCGAUAUCUGAUUAGCUAGUUGGUGAGGUAAAGGCUCACCAAGGCGACGAUCAGUAGCUGGUCUGAGAGGACGACCAGCCACACUGGAACUGAGACACGGUCCAGACUCCUACGGGAGGCAGCAGUGGGGAAUUUUGGACAAUGGGCGCAAGCCUGAUCCAGCAAUGCCGCGUGAGUGAAGAAGGCCUUCGGGUUGUAAAGCUCUUUUGUCAGGGAAGAAACGGUAGAGGCUAAUAUCCUUUGCUAAUGACGGUACCUGAAGAAUAAGCACCGGCUAACUACGUG
rnacentral:rRNA from 1 species